rnacentral:rRNA from 1 species
AGCUCCAAUAGCGUAUAUUAAAGUUGUUGCAGUUAAAAAGCUCGUAGUUGGAUCUCGGGUGCAGGCUGGCGGUCCGCCUCGCGGCGGGUUACUGCCACGUUUCCUGCUCCUCACCUCCCGGGUUGGAAGGUCUCUGAACUUGUCCCCGUAGUGCUCUUUACUGAGUCGCUCGGGGUGGCCGGAACGUUUACUUUGAAAAAAUUAGAGUGUUCAAAGCAGGCGCGUCGCCUGAAUACUGUUGCAUGGAAUAAUAGAAUAGGACCUCGGUUCUAUUUUGUUGGUUUUCGGAAGUCGAGGUAAUGAUUAAUAGGGACGGCCGGGGGCAUUUGUAUUGCGGCGUUAGAGGUGAAAUUCUUGGAUCGUCGCAAGACAAACUACAGCGAAGGCGUUUGCCAAGAAUGUCUUCA